rnacentral:rRNA from 1 species
CCUACGGGAGGCAGCAGUGGGGAAUCUUGCACAAUGGAGGAAACUCUGAUGCAGCGAUGCCGCGUGAGUGAAGAAGGCCUUUGGGUUGUAAAGCUCUUUUGUAGGGGAAGAUAAUGACUGUACCCUAAGAAUAAGGUCCGGCUAACUUCGUGCCAGCAGCCGCGGUAAUACGAAGGGACCUAGCGUAGUUCGGAAUUACUGGGCGUAAAGCGCGCGUAGGCCGUUGAGUUAGUUAAUUGUGAAAUCCCAAAGCUUAACUUUGGAACUGCAAUUAAAACUGCUCGACUAGAGUUUGAUAGAGGAAAGCGGAAUACAUAGUGUAGAGGUGAAAUUCGUAGAUAUUAUGUAGAACACCAGUUGCGAAGGCGGCUUUCUGGAUCAACACUGACGCUGAGGCGCGAAAGUAUGGGUAGCAAAGAGGAUUAGAUACCCUCGUAGUCCAUACCAUAAACGAUGAUUGCUAGAUGUUGGAAAUUUAUUUUACAGUAUCGCAGCUAACGCAUUAAGCAAUCCGCCUGGGGAGUACGACCGCAAGGUUAAACUUAAAGGAAUUGACGG